CCUACGGGAGGCAGCAGUGGGGAAUAUUGCACAAUGGGCGAAAGCCUGAUGCAGCAACGCCGCGUGAGCGAUGAAGGCCUUCGGGUCGUAAAGCUCUGUCUUCAAGGAAGAUAAUGACGGUACUUGAGGAGGUAUCUCCGUCUAACUUCGUUCCAGCAGCCGCGGUAACAUGUAGGGGGCUAGCGUUAUCCGGAAUUACGGGGCGUAAAGGGUGCGUAGGUGGUUUCUUAAGUCAGAGGUGAAGGGCUACGGCUCAACCGUAGUAAGCCUUUGAAACUGGGGAACUUGAGUGCAGGAGAGGAGAGUGGAAUUCCUAGUGUAGCGGUGAAAUGCGUAGAUAUUAGGAAGAACACCAGUUGCGAAGGCGGCUCUCUGGACUGUCACUGACACUGAGGCACGAAAGCGUGGGGAGCAAACAGGAUUAGAUACCCCUGUAGUC
rnacentral:rRNA from 1 species